UCGCGGCCUAUCAGCUUGUUGGUGAGGUAACGGCUCACCAAGGCAUCGACGGGUAGCUGGUCUGAGAGGAUGAUCAGCCACACUGGAACUGAGACACGGUCCAGACUCCUACGGGAGGCAGCAGUGGGGAAUAUUGCACAAUGGGCGCAAGCCUGAUGCAGCGAUGCCGCGUGCGGGAUGAAGGCCCUAGGGUUGUAAACCGCUUUCAGCAGGGAAGAAAAUGACGGUACCUGCAGAAGAAGGUGCGGCCAACUACGUGCCAGCAGCCGCGGUGACACGUAGGCACCAAGCGUUGUCCGGAUUUAUUGGGCGUAAAGAGCUCGUAGGCGGUUCGGUAAGUCGGGUGUGAAAACUCUGGGCUCAACCCAGAGACGCCACCCGAUACUGCUGUGACUUGAGUACGGUAGGGGAGUGGGGAAUUCCUGGUGUAGCGGUGAAAUGCGCAGAUAUCAGGAGGAACACCAGUGGCGAAGGCGCCACUCUGGGCCGUAACUGACGCUGAGGAGCGAAAGCAUGGGUAGCAAACAGGAUUAGAUACCCUGGUAGUCCAUGCCGUAAACGUUGGGCACUAGGUGUGGGUCUCAACCAACGAGAUCCGCGCCGUCGCUAACGCAUUAAGUGCCCCGCCUGGGGAGUACGUUCGCAAGACUAAAACUCAAAGGAAUUGACGGGGACCCGCACAAGCAGCGGAGCGUGUUGCUUAAUUCGAUGCAACGCGAAGAACCUUACCUGGGUUUGACAUGUCGGGAAAAGCUCUAGAGAUAGGGUGUCCUUCGGGGCCCGACACAGGUGGUGCAUGGCUGUCGUCAGCUCGUGUCGUGAGGUGUUGGGUUAAGUCCCGCAACGAGCGCAACCCUUAUCCUGUGUUGCCAGCAAGUAAUGUUGGGGACUCGCAGGAGACUGCCGGGGUCAACUCGGAGGAAGGUGGGGAUGACGUCAAGUCAUCAUGCCCCUUAUGCCCAGGGCUGCAACACGCUACAAUGGCCGGUAC
rnacentral:rRNA from 1 species